GACGAACGCUGGCGGCGUGCUUAACACAUGCAAGUCGAACGGAAAGGCCCUGCUUUUGUGGGGUGCUCGAGUGGCGAACGGGUGAGUAACACGUGAGUAACCUGCCCUUGACUUUGGGAUAACUUCAGGAAACUGGGGCUAAUACCGGAUAUGAGCUCCUGCUGCAUGGUGGGGGUUGGAAAGUUUCGGCGGUGGGGUAUGGACUCGCGGCUUAUCAGCUUGUUGGUGAGGUAGUGGAUUACCAAGGCUUUGACGGGUAGCCGGCAUGAGCGGGUGACCGGGCACAUUAGGACUGAGGUACGGCCCAGACUCCUACGGGAGGCAGUAGUGGGGAAUAUUGCACAAUGGGCGGGAGCCUGAUGCAGAAACGCCGCGUGCGGGAUGACGGCUUUCGGGUUGUAAACCGCUUUCGCCUGUGACGAAGAGGGAGUGACGGUAAUGGGUAAAGAAGCACCGGCUAACUACGUG
rnacentral:rRNA from 1 species